UACGGAGGGUGCAAGCGUUAUCCGGAUUCACUGGGUUUAAAGGGUGCGUAGGAGGGCAGGUAAGUCAGUGGUGAAAUCUUUGGGCUUAACCCGAAAACUGCCAUUGAUACUAUCUGUCUUGAAUGCGGUGGAGGCGAGCGGAAUAUGUCAUGUAGCGGUGAAAUGCUUAGAUAUGACAUAGAACACCGAUUGCGAAGGCAGCUCGCUACACCUGCAUUGACUCUGAGGCACGAAAGCGUGGGGAUCAAACAGGA
rnacentral:rRNA from 1 species